rnacentral:rRNA from 1 species
GGGGAAUAUUGCACAAUGGGCGAAAGCCUGAUGCAGCAACGCCGCGUGAGUGAUGAAGGUCUUCGGAUUGUAAAGCUCUGUCUUUUGGGACGAUAAUGACGGUACCAAAGGAGGAAGCCACGGCUAACUACGUGCCAGCAGCCGCGGUAAUACGUAGGUGGCGAGCGUUGUCCGGAUUUACUGGGCGUAAAGGGUGCGUAGGCGGAUGUUUAAGUGAGAUGUGAAAUACCCGGGCUUAACUUGGGUGCUGCAUUUCAAACUGGAUAUCUAGAGUGCAGGAGAGGAGAAUGGAAUUCCUAGUGUAGCGGUGAAAUGCGUAGAGAUUAGGAAGAACACCAGUGGCGAAGGCGAUUCUCUGGACUGUAACUGACGCUGAGGCACGAAAGCGUGGGUAGCAAACAGGAUUAGAUACCCUGGUAGUCCACGCCGUAAACGAUGAGUACUAGGUGUAGGAGGUAUCGACCCCUUCUGUGCCGCAGUAAACACAUUAAGUACUCCGCCUGGGAAGUACGAUCGCAAGAUUAAAACUCUAAAGUGAAUU